rnacentral:rRNA from 1 species
GAUGAACGCUAGCGGCAGGCUUAAUGCAUGCAAGUCGAGGGGUAGCAAGAUUGUAGCAAUACAAUUGUUGACGACCGGCAAACGGGUGCGGAACACGUACACAACCUUCCUACAAGUGGGGAAUAGCCCAGAGAAAUUUGGAUUAAUACCCCGUAACAUAGCGAUGUGGCAUCACAUUGCUAUCAUAGCUUCGGCGCUUGUUGAUGGGUGUGCGGCUGAUUAGAUAGUUGGCGGGGUAACGGCCCACCAAGUCUACGAUCAGUAGCUGAUGUGAGAGCAUGAUCAGCCACACGGGCACUGAGACACGGGCCCGACUCCUACGGGAGGCAGCAGUAAGGAAUAUUGGACAAUGGACGCAAGUCUGAUCCAGCCAUGCCGCGUGAAGGAUUAAGGUCCUCUGGAUUGUAAACUUCUUUUAUAAGGGACGAAAAAAGGUCUUUCUAGAUCGUCUGACGGUACCUUAUGAAUAAGCACCGGCUAACUCCGUGCCAGCCGCCGCCGUAACAC